rnacentral:tRNA from 1 species
UGUGGUGUAGUUCAGUGGUAGAGCUCUUGCCUAGCACAUGUGAGGCACUGGGUUUGAUCCUCAGCACCACAU